AGGAACUCCGUAAACAGAUCGGUGCCACGUAUUACAUCGAAUGCAGCUCAAAAACCCAGCAGAAUGUGAAAGCAGUUUUUGAUGCAGCAAUAAAGGUGGUUAUCAAGCCACCACAGAAACAAAAAGAAAAGAAAAGGCCGCACCGUGGGUGUCUCCUAAAUGUGUUUUGUGGAAGAAACCUUACAAGGCAAAGUUGAGAGCAG
rnacentral:misc_RNA from 1 species